rnacentral:rRNA from 1 species
GACGAAGGAUGCAAGCGUUAUCCGGAUUCAUUGGGUUUAAAGGGUGCGUAGGCGGACUUGUAAGUCAGUGGUGAAAUCUCUCAGCUUAACUGAGAAACUGCCAUUGAUACUGCAGGUCUUGAGUACAGAUGAUGUUGGCGGAAUAUGACAUGUAGCGGUGAAAUGCAUAGAUAUGUCAUAGAACACCGAUUGCGAAGGCAGCUGACAAAACUGUAACUGACGCUGAGGCACGAAAGUGUGGGGAGCGAACAGG